CCUCCCAUCCGUGUCUAUUGUACCCUGUUGCUUCGGCGGGCCCGCCGCUUGUCGGCCGCCGGGGGGGCGCCUCUGCCCCCCGGGCCCGUGCCCGCCGGAGACCCCAACACGAACACUGUCUGAAAGCGUGCAGUCUGAGUUGAUUGAAUGCAAUCAGUUAAAACUUUCAACAAUGGAUCUCUUGGUUCCGGCAUCGAUGAAGAACGCAGCGAAAUGCGAUAACUAAUGUGAAUUGCAGAAUUCAGUGAAUCAUCGAGUCUUUGAACGCACAUUGCGCCCCCUGGUAUUCCGGGGGGCAUGCCUGUCCGAGCGUCAUUGCUGCCCUCAAGCCCGGCUUGUGUGUUGGGUCGCCGUCCCCCUCUCCGGGGGGACGGGCCCGAAAGGCAGCGGCGGCACCGCGUCCGAUCCUCGAGCGUAUGGGGCUUUGUCACAUGCUCUGUAGGAUUGGCCGGCGCCUGCCGACGUUUUCCAACCAUUUCUUUCCAGGUUGACCUCGGAUCAGGUAGGGAUACCCGCUGAACU
rnacentral:rRNA from 1 species